GACCUAACCUUACCUUUAUCUGGAGGAUAGCCUUUCGAAAGGAAGAUUAAUACUCCAUAAUAUAUUGAUUGGCAUCAAUUAAUAUUGAAAGCUCUGGCGGAUAGAGAUGGGCACGCGCAAGAUUAGUUAGUUGGUGAGGUAACGGCUCACCAAGACGAUGAUCUUUAGGGGGCCUGAGAGGGUGAUCCCCCACACUGGUACUGAGACACGGACCAGACUCCUACGGGAGGCAGCAGUGAGGAAUAUUGGACAAUGGGUGCAAGCCUGAUCCAGCCAUCCCGCGUGAAGGACGACUGCCUAUGGGUUGUAAACUUCUUUUGUAUAGGGAUAAACCUCUCCUCGUGAGGAGAGCUGAAGGUACUAUACGAAUAAGCACCGGCUAACUCCGUG
rnacentral:rRNA from 1 species